GGCGAUGGAGAGGACAGUUCAGGAAGAAAAGGGUGCAGGUGGGCUCCAUUUGGCCUCCUUCCUUGGUCCAUUCUCAUCUUCCUGGGCCCUGCGGAUGCAUGGCCUGGGCUGCUUUGCCCUCUGGCUUUCAAGCUGGUUUGAGCUAUAAGAGAUGGAGCAGAGAAAGGAGAGGAAGGCCAGCAUCUUUCUUCCCUGCUUCCUUCAGGCUCUGGCAUCCGGUGCAGUCUUGCUCGUCAUCUCCGCUUCCCUCUGCUUCUUCCCAGGCUCCAGUUCUCCCUGGAUUCCAGGAACACCAUCUCCUUCCUCGUCCCUUCCAUCCCAGGGAAGGUUUACACUGAAAAUUUUUUGUGAUGAAAAGAUUUGAAGAAGAUGACAGGAGAUGGAGAAGCACCAGCUGAUCUGCAGACUCCAAGGAGGUCCCAGGAAGAGGUAUAAAGGAAGGAAUCUGAGACAUGGUUCUUCCUCCCUGUGGGUACCAUCCCUUCCUGUGGCAGCUCUCCUGUUCUCUAAGCACCUCGAUCCCCCCAACCCCACUCAUUUAUAUGGACCUGGCACUCAGAUCUUUCACCCGUAUAAUGCCACUCCAGGCUCUGCCUCUUGGGUAGUGUCCUAUGUCCUAGAAUAUUCCCAGAUGAGAAUGGGACCCCUUAGGUAGAGCUGUGUGCUCUGCCUCACCUAAUCCAGCUGGCAACCCCCAUAGGUGUCAUCCACUAAGAUCUUCUGGGACAGGAAAGCCCUGUGAUACCUCUU
rnacentral:lncRNA from 10 species